AAGUAAACGGGGUAUGGAGGACCACACAGAGCUAUGCAACAUUGCUUCAAGGAAAAGGUGGUGAUCCAAUAAUGCGUCUAAGCUACAGGCCAGGAAAACAUGGCAUUGAUCACCACCUAGUUUUCUGGCAUGCCGUGGAGCACUGCUUUGUUUUCACUCGUGACGUCGAUGGAACAAACCAAUGCGAGAUGUGGGUAUGGGGCGAUCACGUUCGGAAACAUGUGCCCCAGUGUCAGAUGGCAUAUAAGCGGCACUGCCUCGUGCAAUACCCGGUAUACACACAUGCCUGUGGAAAACCCUAAAAAGAAGGAUGCGAAAUGUUAUUUAGUGAAUAUGGCGAUGCUUACAAUUAUGAAUUAUUACUAUAGGAAUUCGCACUGCAUGUUAUAGGAUAAUAUAUUU